rnacentral:rRNA from 1 species
UAGGGAAUAUUGCUCAAUGGGGGAAACCCUGAAGCAGCAACGCCGCGUGGAGGAUGAAGGUUUUAGGAUUGUAAACUCCUUUUGUAAGAGAAGAUUAUGACGGUAUCUUACGAAUAAGCACCGGCUAACUCCGUGCCAGCAGCCGCGGUAAUACGGAGGGUGCAAGCGUUACUCGGAAUCACUGGGCGUAAAGAGCGCGUAGGCGGGUGGUCAAGUCAGAUGUGAAAUCCUGUAGCUUAACUACAGAACUGCAUUUGAAACUGACCAUCUAGAGUAUGGGAGAGGUAGGUGGAAUUCUUGGUGUAGGGGUAAAAUCCGUAGAGAUCAAGAGGAAUACUCAUUGCGAAGGCGACCUGCUGGAACAUUACUGACGCUGAUGCGCGAAAGCGUGGGGAGCAAA